GCUACACCAAUCGCCUUCCCUAAACAAGGCGGACUACGAUUCCCACUGUACUCCGCGCCUGGGGGGAUUGGGUGGGAAAAGGAACCGGAAACCGGAAGGGGAGUCCGAUCAGGUAACAGUGGCAAGGCCAUGCCCCAGGCUUUCCUGCUGGGGCCCCUCAUGUCUGCACGUGCCUUGAUGGAGCCCCAGCCUUGUUCUCAAAGCCUGGCUGAGGGGUUCUUGGAAGAGGAGCUUCGACUCAAUGCAGAGCUGAGCCAACUGCAGUUCUCGGAGCCUGUGGGCAACAUCUACAAUCCUGUGGAGUACGCAUGGGAGCCGCAUCGCAGCUACGUGACCCGCUACUGCCAGGGCCCCAAGGAAGUGCUCUUCCUGGGCAUGAACCCAGGACCCUUUGGCAUGGCCCAGACUGGGGUGCCCUUUGGGGAGGUGAGUGUGGUCCGGGACUGGUUGGGCAUUGGGGGGCCUGUGCUGCCUCCUCGCCAAGAACACCCUAAGCGGCCUGUGUUGGGACUAGAGUGCCCACAGUCAGAGGUGAGCGGCGCCCGAUUCUGGGGCUUUUUCCGGAACCUCUGCGGGCAGCCUGAGGUCUUCUUCCGUCACUGUUUUGUCCACAACCUGUGUCCUCUGCUCCUCCUGGCUCCCAGUGGACGCAACCUCACCCCAGCCGAACUGCCUGCAAAACAGCGAGAACAGCUUCUUGGGAUGUGUGAUGUGGCCCUCUGCCGGCAGGCCCCCCAACAUAUGGAGCUUCCCAUUUCCCAGAUGCUACAUGCCCAUGCGGAUUCGGGGGGAAGAUCAUUCCUAGCAAGCGGAGCAGCAAGGGCAAAGGCCCUGACCCUGAAGUCGUGCCAACAGGGAGGGCAGAUUUUGUUUCCGUGGGAGAGAGUAGGAUAUUAUUUUCACCCGACUUAUUUUGGUUCCUGAUGAUCCCCAUGCUGAUGUGCUAAAAAGCAGAAGAAGCCAGGUGCAGACUUUACCAGUGUCACAUGGAAGGUCAUCUCAGAUCUUUUUGGGAAGAAAGUGGAGAAAAGCUCUGAAGACAUGGUCUUAUUUCACUUCAGCCAUUGUAUGAUUUCUGUUUGGGUGCUACCUGCCAGCUGGCCCCCAAAUGAAGGGGCUGCCAAUCUCAUCCAAUCACCCUAGGUCACCAGGGGAAGUGCCCAGAGAGUGAAAAAAAGCCAAUUUUGGUGAGGCAGCAUGAUUAGAAGAGGGGAAUUAAGAGAGGGCAAGAGAAGAUGAGAGAGUAAAAAGAGGGUCAAGCAAAGACAAAAGAUUGGAGAAGAGGCAAAGAGGGAGGGGCAUGGGACCUAAUGUUUUUACCUCAGCUUUGUUGUCCGUAAAAUGGGCAUGAGAAUGCCUCAUAGGGUUGUUGUCAAGAAUAAGAGUUAAUACAUGUAAAGUACUUAACAGAUAGUAUUAUAUAACUGAUGAUGAUGAAGAUAAAUGCAGAUAGUAUUGCCUGCUUUGAAAGGGUUGUUGUGAGAUGGGGCUUGUAAAACACUUUGUAAACGGCAAAACGCUAUUGUUAUUCUCCCACUCUUGCAAUUUUUUCAGCCACUGUGCAUCUUCAUGUUGAUGAAGGGGGAGCUGCCAGGAGGAGGCAUGGACCCCUGGGUUCUGUUCUGCUUUAGGGGUUGUUUCCUUCCUCCCCACUUCACCCCCUGGUGAACCAAGUCCAAGCCCCUCACCUUCCCUGCUGCCAAAUAUGCCCUGGGGCAUGGCGGAGAGAAGGUAGAGGCUGGCAGGAAGGGCCCAGGAGAAAGGCCAGGGAAGCCAAGCUGAAAAUGAAUGCUAGGGAGAGGGCAGGGAAGCAGCACUGGAAUCAUGUUUGCAUAACGAGCCACUCCUCUCUGGCUUGCUGUUUUCCCAGAUAGGACUCUUCCUCCUUUGUCCUCAGCCAUACAUCAGUCUCUUUUCUUCUUUCUUUCCUCCUGGACACUUCCUCUCAUUUCUUUGCCCCUUGAUUCUGUCCGAAGCCUCCCCAGCCCCCUUCUCUUCUCUUCUACCUCCCUGACUGCUGCUCUGAGGCUCUCUUAGUUUUUCAUCUUGUUCCCCCCUUCUCCGCCAUCCAUUCCUCCCCCUGUAGGGUUCUCCUCUGUUUUCCUCCAUCUCUCUUCCCCCCCACCACAUCUCUGUGCCACCCCUUUCUCUUCCUUUCUUACUCCAAGUGACCCCCAUCUUUACCUACCUGCUUCUAUCUUCCUCUUACAUUUCCUGACUCUCUUUCUCCUUAUAUCCUCACAGCCCUUGUCCCCCAAUCUUCACACCCCUGCCCUCCUCCCCUCCUCCUGCCUUUGUCAGUAGCACCCCCUGUUAGUUGCACUGCUUGCGUCCCAGAGAGCUCAGUGCCUAGAUUCAGAGCUUGCUGAUUAGCCCUGGUUCUCUCGAUGAAAUAAUAGGAAAAAUAAGACUAAAAUUUAAUGAGUACUUUAAUAUGGUCAAGUUUCCACUAAGCACUUUAUCUGUGUAUUAUCUCAUGUACUCUCAAUAACUGUGAGAUAAAUAUUAUUAUCACUAUUUUACAGAUGAGGAGACUAAAGCUUAGAGAAGUUAGAGAACUUGCUGAAGGUCUCACAGUUAAUAAAGUGUUGGAACUCAAAUGCAGCUCUGUCUAAAGGAGCCUGUGCUCUGAACCACAAGAAUCGGUGCCAGCCUUGGGAGAAGCUAUUCUCACUUUCUCUACCAGGAGCUUCAGAGAGCCCUGUUUCUUUAAACAUCAUCUUGGCACCCCCAGAUUCCUCCAGACGUCAUUUGGCUCCUUCUCGUUUCUCUGUGUAAGACCAGCUCUAACCCAGCCUCAACAACAUGUUCUGUGUGACAGUGCUACUAACAAUAUAUUGAACACUUCCUAUGUUCCAGACACCGAUCUAAGCACUUUAUGCAUGGAUCUCAUUUAACCAUUACCACAAUAACUCUGUGAGGUAGCAACUAUUCUCAUUCCCAUUUUACACAUGGAGAAACUGAGGUACAGGGAGGUUAAGAAACUUGCCCACAGUCACACAGUUAGGUGGCAGAGCCAGGACUUGAGCCCAGGCAUCUUGGCUCUAGAGACCCUGCCCUCCUAACCACAAUACUUCUUCACGCAGCUCUAGGGAAAACAGGUUUUGGUCUCCCACCCAUUGUUAUUAGCCCAGUUGCUUUGAGCAGUUCUUGUUGGCCAUCCUCAAGCCCAUGGCUGUGGCCCAUUUCUGUGGGCACUGCCCACUGUGGUGUAAUCUCUGCAACAGCACCGAUAGCUCGCAAGCUCUGGCCAGGCCACCAGCCCUAAUCGGUGCCUGAGGGGAUUUAUUGGCAGCCACCCCCAGGGAGCAGGGACAAGUGUUUUCCUCUCCAGCCCUGCUGUACAGCCUUCCAACCCAACAGCUCCCUCGUUCCGGCCCAUCGAGGCAGCUGAUUUACCUCUGUGGCUUAGGGAUUUAGCUGCUGUCCUGGCUCCUACUAUAAAUCCCCCAACAAAUAACCAAGCUCUGCAUCAAAGCAGCCAGCAGGGGAGCUAGCAGGAGCAGAUGGCUGCUUUGGCCAUGGGGUGAGGAGGGCAGGGCAGGUGGGGAGGCCCCAAGGCUGUCUUGUUCACCCCUUGGCCACGAAGCCAGGCUGCACCUUUUUCAAGCCCAUGGGUUUGCCCUCAACUUUCAGAGUAUUUAACUACCCCAUCCAGCAUCUCCCAACACUUAGCACCGGCAGGUUUGGGUUAAUGUCCAGUCUUAUCCCUGCCGCCCCAUAUGAAAUCUAUUUGCCUGACAUCCCUGGAGAAGGAGAUACUGACCACCAUCCUUGGGUUUGAUUAUGCCUCAAAAGAGUUGAGCAUUUCUUGAUUUUCUGGGGCUCCUGUUGGAUGUAGGUUCUGCCCUCCCAAGGAAAGCUGAAACUGAAGCAAGAGGUAGUGAAAACUUUCUAGCCAGAAGUGGUAGAAGACCCUAGAAUGUAGGUGACCCAGAGGGGGGACUGACAGUAACCUCCAAAAGUAGGCCAGAGUUAGGGUGGAUGAACCCCAAAAGGUAGAGCUACUUCUAAAUGUGAAUGAGGUAGGGUUGUGGUAGCCAUGGUUGGGAUCCCCAAACCUCCCACAUUGUAGCCCAGACUUGGGAGUAUGAUACGACUGCUUAGGGGUCCACACAUGAAAUGGGGGAUGAGGUGGGACGGAUGGGACUUGCCCCCUAUCAGUGCCCCUUGUUUUUCUGCCCCUCCCUUUCUCUGACUUCUCCCAUAUCUUCUCUCGGUUGCUCCCCACCUGCCCCCCUCCGCUUCUUUCUGUUUGCCUUGUUCUCUCCCAUGGUACUCUCUCUCCAUACCCAAAAAGCACUUCUCUUUUUCAACUGACCAGCUGGCAGUGGUGGGUUGGGCUGAAGCUCGGGGCUCUGGUUCCGCUCCCUGGAACCUCACUCAGCCGGGAGCCUGUCCCUGGUGUCCGUGCCAUUUUGUUCUUACACUCCCCAUCCAUCUUCCCUGUCCCCCCUCUCUGCCCCCCUGCCACAGCUGCCUCCGCCUGGAAGAUUACAGACACUGAAUCAGCAGCCAGCUCCAGCAUUCUGCUGACAGGGGGCUUUCUGCCUCAGAGGUCUCAGUGGGAUCAGGGCCCCUCCUGGGGCCCAGGGAUUUGAGGUGGGAGGAAGGAAGGGGUGGGGAGGAGAAGAGGUGGAUGAUGAGGGAGAGAUGAAGGGCAGAAGGUAAAGGAGAGAAGAGGAUGGAGAGAUAAAGGGAGAGGUGGAAAGAAGGGGAGAAUUGGAAGAUAGGAAGGGAUGGAAGAACAGUGAGGGAUGUAGAGAAAUAAGCAGAGGGUGGGGAGAUGGGAAAGAAAAUGGAAGAGGGAGAGAGAGAGGGUUUGGAAAUUAGGUGGGGCACGAGGAGCUGGGGCAAGGAUGAGGGUGAGAGGGUGGGUGAGCUCCAUUCACCAGCCUGAAAGCCCAGGCCUCAGCUCUGCCCUCCUCCCUAUCCUAGUGCCCUACAGGCCACUUUGAGGCCCAAGUUCACUAGGACUGGGCUGAGGGGUGCAAGCUGAGCCCCCCUCCCCUGGCCCUGAUCUGGGGCUCUGCCUUGCGCCUCCCUCUCUCCCUCUCACGUGGUGGUUUGUACUUCAUCUUGUUUGCGGGGCGGCUGGGCCUGCUCUCAGGGUUUAAUGAUCUGUGCCAUUAUUUAUAGCUUUGCGCGCGGAGAAACACACUGAAUUUAUCGCUUGCUUCUAUAAAUAACCCUGGCAAACGGGUGCCCAGGGAGGAGGGCGGGAUGGGGAGGGAGAAGUGAAGAAAGGAGAGGUGGGGGGUAGGGUAGGGGAGGUCUCUCUGGACUUUUGUUCCCAAAAUGGGGUGACGUGUGUGCACAAGGACAGCAGAGACUGGCAGGACUGUUUAAGUGUGGUUGUGUGUCCAAGUGCAAGUUAAUAGAAAUGGGACAGUGUAUGCCCCUGUGAUGAGGGGAAUGAUUGUUUGAGCUUUUCUGGGGAUGUGUAUGAGUUGACUAUGUGUUGCCAUAUGUGUUUGUCUCUGGUGCCAUGUGGGUGGCAGUGAGGUUGGAAAAGCACAAGGCAGCCCCAAGAAAUGGCUAGUCUAUAAAUGGGUAUUCAAUGGGGCUGAAGGCAGGGGUCAGGGGAGGUGACUUGGCUCCCUUCUUGAUGGUUAGGCUCCUUUCUCUAUGGUGAGGUGGAAUAAAAAGACUAUAAUGAGUCUAUUUUUCUGAGUGUUUGACAAGAGAGGUGACAAGAGGAAGAGAUGAGACCUGAGGAAGCAGGCUAUGUAUAAUUCUGUGUGUCUGGCUGGGCCAUUGGGGGUGUGAAGGCUCCUAGUGUCCUAUGGGGCAGGGGCUAGCUCCCUGCUUUAGGAUCCAGAGGAACCUUUGCUUUUGAGCUUGGUGGAUGGAGAGGUGGGGGUGGGGGAUGCGCAGGCACCCCGCCCUGUCUCUGUGCCUGGGUGCACUUAGCUGCAGGACCCCGCUGGCAAAUCCUGACCCAGGUUGGGGCAGGGGGCAGCUCGGGCCUGCCUGCCCAGACGAAGCCAAGUGCCCGGUGCUGUGGCCUGCUGACUCUGCCCUGCCUGCCCAUAGCAGGCUUUUGUCCCAGGCACAGGCACAAGACUCUCACGCCCAUCCCCAGGACUGCCUGGGGACUCUCCAGCCAGAGGAUGUGAAGACCUGCCUCCUCCCUUUCCCCCAGCCAGUGGCUUCCUUCUGCUCAGCACAUCCACACAGAAAGGGCUGCAGCAGCAGCAGCGAUUAGCUUAGGAAGCACUCUGCAUCUCUAAUAAGGAUAUUUGCAUAUAUAACGAAGAACCUUCACAGGUGUUGGUGAGGCCGCUCCUCCUCUUUUCCCUUUCUUCUUUACUGCCAGCUGCCACCCUGACCUGUGGCUGGGGGAGGUCCUUGCCCACUCAGCUGAGAGAGGGGUUGAGGUGCAGUGUAUUGGAUCAGAAACAGUCAAGGUGAAAGCCCAUUGUGUGGGUGUGCACAGACAGGCCCAGCAACACAUGUGCAUGUGUGAACAUGAGCCUGCACACACACAGAAAGGUAGGCACAAGUGCAACAAGCCCAUCUCUUCCCCAAGUGUGCUGCAGCGUGUGGUCACACACCCAGGUCAGUGCAAGUAUGCAAGCCACGUCCUUGCUGCACCCAGGCGGAAGCACUGUGCACGCGCUGCCAGCACACGGCCUCCUCACAGGGCCUGGCAGCGAUGCAGGCAAUUAGAGAAAAUGCACCUGCAACCAACACUUCCUCCAUCCAAACAGGGCCCCCCUCCCUCUUUUUCUUUCUUCCUUUGAGCCAGCCCAGCCGCGGUGUGUUUCUCACGGAGUCACCAGCCCUUAUUCGGGCCAGAAAACUACACCCCCUCAGCCCCCAUACACACUUAUUCAGGCCUAUUAAGCACACGUAAGAGACCAUUUUUCUUAAAAAAAAAAAAAAGGUAAGAGGGGCCUUUACACCCUAGUCAGGUACCAUGGAAGGGGAAGAGAAAAUACCAGGGCUAGGGUGGUUGGUAGGACCGGGGGUGAGGAACUAGGGGCAGGUGGGGGGUGUCUAGGGAGGAACAGAGUUGGGGGGGCGGCUGAAGUCCCCACAAGGUCAUUCUCAGGUUAUCCCCUACAGCCCUGACUCUCGAGCCGCAGACUAGCCAAUCCCUGGCGCCCCCCGGCCUCUCUCUGCCCUCCUGUUGGUCCUGCUGAGGCAUGUGACCCUCCCCUACUCUGGCAGCUGACCUGGAUGAUGGAUGCAGCUGCUCAGCUGUACCUGUUGGGGGACAGGGACCUCACAGCUCCUAAUUACCUCCUUUUCUAGUGAGGGCUGGGGGCUGGGCUACAAGACGGUUCUCUGCUCAGUCCACUGGGGCUGAGGCUGACAUCCUGAGCUACAGCCAGGCCUGGAGGCAGGCACUCCCAGACUGCUCUGGGGUGAUGGGGGGAAGUGGGGGCACUGGCCUGGGGUGUGGAGUGGGGGAGCAGUUCUGGAAGGUUAACACGGGACAAAAACACAUCACAGCCACAAUUAUCAGGAGGCUGGGAUAGGACUUUGAAUAAAUUACCUUUUCAGGUCCUUCCCAUUGAGGGCAAGAUUCAGGUUAAAUAUCAAGGAGUACUUCCUGGCAGUCAGGGGUAAGAUACACACGAUCAAAAGACAGAAAUGUGGGGACGGAGAUUUGGAAGCCUCCUCAGAAGGCAAAUCCUUUUCCUGUCCAGUGAGUGGCUCAUGGCAAACAGCAGCAGAAGAAGGCUGGGUUUAGAGCAGGAGGGCUUGAGGUUAGAAUUUAGGAUGAUUUCAUGGAGGGCAGAGUUGGGUUACCCUGGACUGGACAUUCGAGGAGAUUAUCACAUAUCAGGAUGGUAGGCUCUGUGGGUUGGCUGGAGGAGGGUUGGGAAGACCUCGGGAUUGUAAAGAUGGCAGAAAUCCUCUAGACUUCCUGACAGGGGCACCAAGGUCUUCGGGGCAAAGGCAUGUAUUCAACAAGCUAACAACAGUGGAAUGCUAUGCCUGGUGGGGUGUGAGCUCCCCAGGUUGGAGGUGAGCAAACAGAUGGUUAUGGAGGAACUGGGACCUCUGCAAGAUUGGUUCUGACUGGGUUCCUACGGUUCUAUAGCCUUAGGAUUCUCCAUGGGUCUCCAGAAGGGAAACCAUGGGAAUAGCACCAGGCAUCCUGGCUGCCAGUUCCCUUUCCGUGGGCAACCUGAUGAUAUGGCUAUAAUAAUCUCUAAAAAAAAAAAAAAUUUUUUUUUUUUAGAGAUUAUAUUAAUUGAUACUGCAGGUCACAGUAAUGACAGCCCAUCAGGAUUCAUUAGUCAUAGCCCCCCAUCUCUUGAGGUCUCUGAGCUGAGGAAAAAGGGAGGAAUGUCCUGAGCUACUGGGCACAGUGGGUCCCAAAGGAGGACAAAAUAGAACAGCUGUUUAGGCAAGGCGGAUCUCCCCCUUACUUUAGUCAGUGCCUGUAGCAAGGAGGGUAGUGAGCAGGAAGCCAAGGGGCAGGUGGGGUCCUAAUGCUCCCAGUGACCUCUUUUCUGAAUGGUUCUCCCUCCUGAUCUCUACCUCUGCCUCUCCAGAGCAUUUCUCCCAGUGACCGCUCCCCUCUGAGUUUACAUGGGUCCAGGUUGUUUGGGCUAUCUUCCCCAGCAGUCCCCUCACCCUCCAGCACCUGACUCCUCACUGCCCUGGGCUCCUCGAGAUGCUGAAUGGGCAAUCUCCCCACUCUAGGGAGGUGUCAGGUGGCAAGAUGCUCACUCUGUCCCCAGGCGUUUGUGUGUCUGCUCCUAGGAGGGCUUUCUUCAUGCCUCCUGAGAGAGUGGGGCAUGUGGAAGGUCUAGGGAAGGAGGCGGUGCUCUUGUGCAUUCAGGGUUAUUACUGGAGGGAGAAAGGAGGGGGUGGGGAGGUAGGGAUCCAUAAUCCUACCACCCCCAAAACUGACCAGGGAAGUUUUGUGAAACUGGGCUUUCCUGGUUUCAGCACCAGGUGUAUGUGCACAUGUAUGUGCAUACAUACACACAGACCCUCACCCAGAGAUCACACACGGACACGCAUGCCUGUGUGCCUUGGGUCUGCUCCCAGGAAGUCUGCCCUGUGAGCUGCUUCCAGGGUAAAUUUCUUAAUAAACCUCUGGCUUCCCGCCUACCCCAGACAAAAGCCUUCCGUGACUUUCCAGUGUCCAUGGGGUAAAGCACAGACUCCCUAGUCUAGCACUCAAGGUCUCUGAACUGGCCCCAGCCUAUCUCCUCAGCCUCAUCUGUAAUCCUUCAGAAGAAUCUUCCUAAAGAAGACUGGGUCAUAUACAUUUACAUUUCCUACUUCUGAAUGGAUCACCAGGGCAAAUGCCCUUUUCCCACUCACAUCUCUACUGGUUUAGACCCACCUCCUCCAGGGAGCCUUUCUUGACUGCCCUAGCUUACAGCAACUUCUUCCUUAGCAUGUAGUGCUUGGCAGUUAGAGGAUAAGUCUCUCUACAGUUUGGAGUGGGAGAACCUGUCUCCCCACUUCUGAGCCUUUCAAGACAGGGCCUGUAUUUAUUCAUCUUUAUUUCCCCGGUGCCUUAUAUGGUGCCUGGCAUCAGUAUGUAUAAGUAGCUUAGAACCUGGUUCCAGGGAGGAACAUCCAUCUUAAUUGGAUUAAGUCCCUGCUUUGGCUCGUCCUGGCUGUGUGACCCUGGGCAAGCAGCUUCCCCUCUCUGGGCAUCAGCUUCCCAAACUGCACCAUGAGGAGGUAGGACCUCCUGCUCUAAGAAUCUGUUUUUCUGUGGUUGUGAAGAUGUAGACAGACACUCAAGUACAGAUGGAUGCGCAGAUAACCCCUUACAAAAUAGAGGUUCAGGAGGCUGGAGGUGGUAACUAGAUCAAUGACAAUUAAAUCCAAGAGUCCUAAGAGCUCCUGACUCAGGAUUGGUCUCAGAUCUGUGUGAUCUUAGACUAGCUCCUUUAUGUCUUUCACCCUCAGUUUAUAUGAAAAAUGGGGAUAAUGUUACAGGAUUCUUUUGUGUGUUAGAGAAGGUCGAGUACCUGGAAGCUUAAUUCAUACCACAGAGUACAUAGUAGGCUCUCAGAUAUUUGGGGAGUUGUGACUGGGUCCUCUCCCUUCACCUCUCUCCUCUUGUGGGCUCUGCCCUGUUUCCUUUCUCCUUAAUAAGUGUCUGGGAGAACCCACACUCAACUCCUCUCAAAUCAUCCCCAGUGCUUGACAUCAGGCCUAAAUGGGGUCCCUGAUCCCCAGCCUGCUUGGAGGGACUGGGCUACAGAAUGACUCAGCGAGCUUCCAAGGGUCAGCUCCUUUUGUGGAGUUUCCUUUGCAAAUGCCAUUUCUGUGAGAAUCACAGGGUUUCCCACCACCCCAGAUUCCCAUAUUCCCAAUCCCCCUGCCUCCAAGACACCCUGCCCCCCAUCUACCCUGACCUCUGGGGUCUCUCCCAGCCUGAAAAAUGUCCCUCUUGCCUCAUCACCCUUUCCUGAGAAUACUGAGGUUGUAACUAUUCAAAAAGGCCAGGAAAAUUCCUCAGAAAUAUGAGGAAGGAAGGGUCUGAAUGAAGGGAGACCCCUGUCCUAUAUUAUGGCUUCUGGCUCACCCCUACUUCCCAAGUCACCCCUGGGAGAGGAUUGGAUGAAGGCCCCAGAGUACACCCCCACACCUCUGUGCUGCAGGACACUUUCUUUGCAGGGAACUGAAAGGGAACUGGAGUAUGUUCAGGGACCCCAAGAUCCCAACUUCCCAGCCCCUACCCACUCUGUGAUCUCCAAGGACCUCGGUGCAUCCAGACUUGGGAGCAGCUGCUCUGUUUAUGGUGUGGGAGGCUUAUUCCCACUGACGGCUUUCAGCCCAUGGCUCUGGAGAGAAGAGGUGAUAACUGGGAAAAUGGAGGUAGAGGAAACUAAGCCCAGCUUUGGAAGGAGGUGGGGUUGGUGAUUUCCCCUAACCACAGAGCAGCUGGGAGAAUCUAGUAAAAUCUACCAGUUUCUCCUAGGGAGGAAGGACCCUAGAAAGCAAGGGGAAACCCAAGAGGAGGAAACUGAGGACAGAGAAGGGUCAGCAGUUUGUUGGGGGCUGAAGUUGCUGGAAGUGAGAGUUAACAGAGAUCACAGAGCAGAAAAUGCCAAAGUCAGGAUUCAUUGAAAUUGGUUUGGGUGUGAAUAUGAAUAUCCAGGUCAUUGUGAGUAAAUGCGUGAGGGCCCCAGAGGCAGGGGCUGAGUUACAGUGUUUCAUUUUUAUGACUGGGACUGGCCUCUGCAGGAGGCCCAGAGAGGGAGGAAGUUUGGGCAAAGUCACACAACACUAACAUCUGACCAGGGGCUGGCCUGGCCUGACUUUCUUUUGCCCUUAGUUUCUCAGCCACUCCUGACACACACACACACACACACACACACACACACACACACACACACUCCAAUCUCCCAUGCUCUCUCUAACCCAUCUUCCCCCUAAAUAGUUAUCUGUGAACUUUGACCCCAGGAAUCCUCUUGGGGGGAGCAUUUUGGGGAAAACAUGAUAGAGCCUCGUAAAGAACUCCAACAGCUUGCAAACGGCCUGUGCUAAAUUGCCCCUUCAAGUGAAAAUUAAAGCAAAUGUCUGUUUUAUGGCCAUGUUUUCUUGGGCUGCAGCUAUGGUAGAAGAGCAGGCAGCUCAGAGCUGGGAAGCGGGGAGAAGGGGGAGACACGUCAGGGUGGGAUACCUAGGCAGGCAGAAGGAGCUACUCUACAUGGAGUAUGGUCCAUUCCCCAGCAUCCCUCGCUCCUCUGCCCCUUUUCUAUGCAGACAGGGUGUUGAAACAAUCCUUAACCACAGUUCUUUCUUUCUUAAGGCCUCUCCUCCUCGCCCAAAGUGGUUUUGGAGGUUCUUGUUCUUUCUGGGGCACAGCCUCCUAGAGGACCAGUGGUGGAGGCCUUUGAGGUCAUGCCGGGCCAGGCUCUUGACCUGGGGUCUGUAAAGCCCCAGAGCUUCAACAGGCCUCUGGGCUGCUACUGGGGCAGAGGAAGGAAGAGCCACUGCUCAGGCUCCAGAGCCCCCUCCCCACGAUUUUCUCCAGAGCAGCUGCACUUUUAUAUUAGGGUUCUGAGCCAUGUUUGUUUGAAAAGAGGUUCUAAGGCAAAAGAAGGAGGAGGAGGACUAGGAGGAAGAAGAAGAAAGAAGGAAACCGCUGGUCUACUCUAAUCUCUUCAUUGCACAAAUGAAGACACUGAGGCCCAGAGGGGAAGUGUAGGGGGAAGAUCCUUGGAUUCAGUGGAAAAAAUUUGGGUUCCGAUUCUGACCCUAGUCACUUCAUCUCUCCAGGCCUCAGUUUCCUCAUGAACUUCCAGGUCCUUUUCAGGUCCAUGAAACCCUAGAUAAAUAAGUCCAUAACAAUGACAACAAUAUUUUAUUGUUUAUUGACCCCCUAGGAUGUGCCAGGCCCUAAGGGUUAUGGACUUUCCAUGGGUCAUUCCAUUUACAACUCAGCAACUUUAUAAGGUAUUGUUGUUAUUCCCCUGAGGAAACUAAGGCAAUGAGAGGUUAUAUAACUUAGCAGAGUUCCUUAAAUGGCAAAGGCAGAAUUUGAACCCUGGCAUUCCCUCUCCAGGACUUGUGCACUCAGUCACUACUCUUAUGAGGCCUAGAUCAAGGUCACCCUGAUGGGGAGUGGGAACCUGACCCUGCUGACACCUGGGUCAGUGCUGUUGCCACUAAACUAGGCCUCCUUCCCCAGCCAGGGCAGUGCCGGCCUCCGGCUUUCUGGAGGCUGCUGGGGGCUUCUGUACACCAUGGAGAAGGGGACUUCAGGACAGAAUGGGGCUUCUUGAAGGAGACCUCUAAAGGGUUAGAGUGGUUAGGUUUAUUAUGAGGGGCUCCAGGAAGCUCUGAGAGUUCUUGAUCAGGGUAGGAAUGGCACAAUAUUAUAUAAAAUCCCCUCCCUGCCCUAGACCCAGUGGCCUGCCCACCCAGGAGAUCCUGUAGCAGGCAACUGGACUGGCCAAGCCUAUACAGCCUCUCGGUGACCCCCUCCCACACACACACACAGUGUCUCUUCCACCCUGGUCAUUGCAGCCUUUCCUCAGAGGCUUUGCUGCCAGAGCUCAAUGUGGGAUCUGGCUUCCUCCUCAGAAGACAAUUUAUGGGGACAUGUCGGAGACUCUGUUUUAAUGAAGUUGCAAAAGUAGGUUAAUGGGCUGUGGGUGUUUUUCAUUCCCCUCCCCCUGCCCCAUCUCCACCCCUGGGCGGAUGAAUGAUGCCUCUUCCAGCAAGAUGCAAAGUCGGGCUGAGGAUCUCAGGCCUGAACUCAGAAGCUCACCCAUUCCUUCCUGGGCCUCUUGGGCGACUCCCUGGCAUCACUCCUCCCUGCUGCUCGGAAGAUGCUCAGAAUAUUUAGCUCCAGUCCCUGCUGCUGUAGGUGUGGCUAAGAAGAUGCUCUUAAGUCUGCCAGAAGAAAGGAAGGUGGCAUAUUUGAGUGGCAGGGGCUGGGGCACCGGGUGGGACCCUGGGAAAGGAGAAGCUAGAAUUAUGGAAAAUGAGCUUCUUUUGGAAGGGAGAGGCAUGGAGGCAGAAGCUUAGCUAGCAUGGACCCAGAGACUCUGCAAGUGGAUGCUGGUUUUUGGGGGAGGGGCUGAAUUUCUGGGAGCCUCCUUAGUUCUGUCCGUGCCUCUCUGACUCCUCUCUGUGCUCCUCUGUGUCCCCUAUAUCAUGCUGAUACAUAGCUACUCUUGCAAAUGUUUGUGAGGUGAAUGAUGGCUAUGAAUGUGAAUGACUCUUCUCUCCCUACCCUAGGUCUCUGGGGUGAGAACUCACCUUCAUCCUGGCUCACCUCUAAACCCUACCUCAGCCUGGCUCCUGCUUGGGAACCCCUUCCUUCCCACCAUUCUGCCCAAAUCUUAUGCCACACUCCCCUCUUUCAGGGAGCUUUCCAUGAUGCGGCUGCAAGAACAAUUCCCCACUUAUUUUCUUGAGCCUGAGAUGAAGGUCUGUCAUCCCUGUAAGACUGGGGUCUCCAAGAAGAAGGGUCUAUAUCUGUUUCCUUUGGAGUCUUCCCUGCAGCACCCAGGGCAGGGCUCAAAGCAUGAAGUGGGAGCUCAGACCUUGGUUGUUGCUGGGGACACACACUCAGGAAGACCAUGGAGGAUCCCUAGGGGGGCCAUCCUACUGCCUAGGCCCCUGUGCCUGGUUCUUCCUCCCUUUAGAAAGCUAGGAACAUGCACAAAGUCUGACCUGCAAUCGCUUGCAAGGGAGCAAGGAUCCUUCUUCAUUCCCAACCCCCCACUGCCAACAAAUGAGAUUGUCGGCUGAGGCUUGGGACCUGAAUACCAAGACAGGGUGGAUCAAGGCCUCAUUUCCUCAAGUCUGCAGAUUACCCCUUUCCUUCUGGCAAGAUGGGCCACCUUUGUCCUUCCCCCUGCAAACUCUCUAACUUUAUUUUUUCAGCCCUAGCUCCUUCUCCUCUUGUGGGCCCAGGCAGUAACACAGGCUCCUGACCUUCCAGAGUAACCUUAUAGAAACUCGGCAGCAACCCUACUAGGAAGCCCAGAAAACCCCACAAUAGUCUCCAGGGUAACUCCUGAAUAAUACCCCAAACUCUACAACCAAAAACCAAAACCAAACCAGUUGCCAUCGAGUCUAUUCCAACUCAUAGUGACCCUAUAGGACAGAGUAGAACUGCUCCAUAGGGCUUCCAAGGAGUUCUUGGUGGAUUCGAACUGCUGACCUUUCAGUUAGCAGAUGUAGCUCUUAACCACUAUACCACCAAGGUUUCCAAACUCUACAACAGCAUCCAGAAUUUACAAUAACACCCAAAAAGCCUGUAGUAACACCCAGAACUACCAGGCCCAGGUAGUGCUAUAGCACCUCCCCAAGCAUUGCACAGGAGCCUCCACACAGACCCCUACAGGAGCACCUAAGUCUUCCAAGCAGGUCUGCUAGCUCCCCGAGUGCAUGUUUGCUUUUCUGACCCAGACAGAACAUCCUUCUUGAGGACUCCUGCCCUCACUGGCCCUUGCUGUCCAAUAAACUUUGCUG